CAGUAGCCGCGGUAAUACGAAGGGUGCAAGCGUUACUCGGAAUUACUGGGCGUAAAGCGUGCGUAGGUGGUGGUUUAAGUCCGUUGUGAAAGCCCUGGGCUCAACCUGGGAAUUGCAGUGGAUACUGGGUCACUAGAGUGUGGUAGAGGAUAGUGGAAUUUCCGGUGUAGCAGUGAAAUGCAUAGAGAUCGGAAGGAACAUCUGUGGCGAAGGCGACUAUCUGGGCCAACACUGACACUGAGGCACGAAAGCGUGGGGAGCAAACAGGAUUAGAUACCCCUGUAGUCCCUGUCUCUUAUAC
rnacentral:rRNA from 1 species